AAAGUACUCCCUCCGUCCCAAAAUUCUUGUCUUAGAUUUGUCUAGAUACAGAUGUAUCAAGUCACAUUUUAGUAUUAGAUGCAUCCGUAUCUAGACAAAUCUAAGACAAGAAAUUUGGGACAGAGGGAGUAGUUG
rnacentral:pre_miRNA from 1 species